AGUGAACGCUGGCGGUAGGCCUAACACAUGCAAGUCGAACGGCAGCACAGUAAGAGCUUGCUCUUACGGGUGGCGAGUGGCGGACGGGUGAGGAAUACAUCGGAAUCUACUUUUUCGUGGGGGAUAACGUCGGGAAACUUACGCUAAUACCGCAUACGACCUACGGGUGAAAGCAGGGGAUCUUCGGACCUUGCGCGAUUGAAUGAGCCGAUGUCGGAUUAGCUAGUUGGCGGGGUAAAGGCCCACCAAGGCGACGAUCCGUAGCUGGUCUGAGAGGAUGAUCAGCCACACUGGAACUGAGACACGGUCCAGACUCCUGCGGGAGGCAGCAGUGGGGAAUAUUGGAGAAUGGGCGCAAGCCUGAUCCAGCCAUACCGCGUGGGUGAAGAAGGCCUUCGGGUUGUAAAGCCCUUUUGUUGGGAAAGAAAAGCAGAAGGUUAAUGACCCGCUGUUCUGACGGUACCGAAAGAAUAAGCACCGGCUAACUUCGUG
rnacentral:rRNA from 1 species